GACAGAGGGGGCAAGCGUUGCUCGGAAUUACUGGGCGUAAAGGGCGCGUAGGCGGGAUGGCAAGUCGGUCGUGAAAUCCCUCGGCUCAACCGGGGAACUGCCUUAGAUACUGUCGGCCUCGAGGAAGGUAGGGGCAUGCGGAACUGUAGGUGGAGCGGUGAAAUGCGUUGAUAUCUACAGGAACUCCGGUGGCGAAAGCGGCGUGCUGGACCUUUUCUGACGCUGAGGCGCGAAAGCUAGGGGAGCAAACGGG
rnacentral:rRNA from 1 species